UUUUAUUGGAGAGUUUGAUCCUGGCUCAGGACGAACGCUGGCGGCGUGCCUAAUACAUGCAAGUCGAGCGGAGUGAGUCCUUCGGGGCUCGCUUAGCGGCGGACGGGUGAGUAACACGUAGGCAACCUGCCUGUAAGACCGGGAUAACUACCGGAAACGGUAGCUAAGACCGGAUAGCUGGUCUUCUCGCA
rnacentral:rRNA from 1 species